rnacentral:rRNA from 1 species
AUUGAACGCUGGCGGCAUGCUUUACACAUGCAAGUCGAACGGCAGCGCGGGCUUCGGCCUGGCGUCGAGUGGCGAACGGGUGAGUAAUACAUCGGAACGUGCCCAGUCGUGGGGGAUAGCUCGGCGAAAGCCGGAUUAAUACCGCAUACGACCUGAUGGUGAAAGCGGGGGAUCUUCGGACCUCGCGCUUUUGGAUCUGCCGAUGGCAGAUUAGCUAGUUGGUGGGGUAAAGGCCUACCAAGGCGACGAUCUGUAGCUGGUCUGAGAGGACGACCAGCCACACUGGGACUGAGACACGGCCCAGACUCCUACGGGAGGCAGCAGUGGGGAAUUUUGGACAAUGGGCGAAAGCCUGAUCCAGCAAUGCCGCGUGUGUGAUGAAGGCCUUCGGGUUGUAAAGCACUUUUGGCGGGAACGAAAAGGACUGUGCCAAUACCACGGUUCGAUGACGGUACCCGCAGAAUAAGCACCGGCUAACUACGUG